CCAUGAGGAGCCAGCCAGCAGCUGCCCCGACAUCAGGCAAAGGCAGGCGACCUCUGGGUCAGAGGCGUCCACGAGGCACAGCCUCCUCCUCCCGGAGCCCAUCGUGGUGCCCAACUUCUUCCUGCCGCCCCGGCAGCUGGAAGCCUCUCUGCGGGUGCUCUCACUGUCUGCAGCUUUGCCACCACCAGCCGCCACAGAUCAGGAUAAGAGCGAGGCCACCAAGGGAGCCCUGUCCCCGAGGCCGUGUCGCCCCCGACCCAACUCACUGCCUCCCACCCUGCCUGAGGAGGAAACUCACAGGAUCGCACGGAUAUUUUCUUCCCGAUGCUCCCGGAAAGAGCCCUGCAGCCCAGGGGACUGAGGCGAGGGCCCGCACAGCUCCCUCGGCCUCGGCCGGCGACCCUCGGGGCUGAGAAAGCCCUGAAGCCACCGCCAGCCUGCUCCGCGGCCCCAGGGCCCGGACACGAGGAGCCCCCGGCCAGCCGGUCCCGCUGCCAGGCCGUGCGUGGCGAGGCAGAGGCUGGAACCCGCGUUCCUGUGCCCGAGUGGCCGCCUCGGCCGUGAGCAAGGGCCGGGCAGGUCCUCGCGGCGUCGGUCGCAGAGCCUCCGCUGUCCUCGGCCGGACGCGGGGCCGCUUUGCCUUGGGGUCCGGGCCGGGCGGGGGGAGAGGUCGUGCUUGGAGCCUGGGCGGGAGGGCUCGGGCCGCCCCCACGUCAGCUGCUUUCUAGCUGGCGUGCGCCCUGUUGAAUUGAUCAGAAGGAGGAGGGAGGGAGACGGACCCCCUUCAAACUUGGCAUCCGAUCGUCUGCGGUUCUGACCUUGCUCGUAACUUACUGUUUUCAGCAGCUGUGAAGGUCGGCGCCCCUGCCUGUGUUUGAAUAAAAUCCCAUCGGUGUU
rnacentral:lncRNA from 1 species